rnacentral:lncRNA from 1 species
GACUGUGUGGAUGUAAGGUCUGGUUUCAAAUAGGAGUGAAUGCAUUAAUAAAAUUGGAUGAUGAACCUUGGUAACGUGGUUGGCCUCAAGUAUCAUAGCUUAUAGGGGUGGACAUUGGGAUGUAUGGAUUUGAUUCGCAACUCUUCGGUUUUCAGAGUUAAAGAUUUCAGUCUUAUUCAGGUACUUAUAAAUUUUGGUUCGGGUUCGGUUUGGAACUUUGCAGGUUCGAUUCGAGUUCGGAGAACCCGUUUAAAUUAUUCUUAAGAAAAUUUAAAUUUAUACUCCAUCUAUUUCAUAAUAAAUAUCAUUUUAGAUUUUUUUU